UGGGGAAUAUUGGACAAUGGGCGCAAGCCUGAUCCAGCAAUGCCGCGUGUGUGAAGAAGGCCUUCGGGUUGUAAAGCACUUUUAUCAGGAGCGAAACGCUGUCGGCUAAUACCCGGCGGAACUGACGGUACCUGAGGAAUAAGCACCGGCUAACUUCGUGCCAGCAGCCGCGGUAAUACGAAGGGUGCAAGCGUUAAUCGGAAUUACUGGGCGUAAAGCGUGCGUAGGCGGUUUCUUAAGUCUGCUGUGAAAUCCCCGGGCUCAACCUGGGAAUGGCAGUGGAUACUGGGAGGCUAGAGUGUGUCAGAGGGUGGUGGAAUUCCCGGUGUNAGCGGUGAAAUGCGUAGAGAUCGGGAGGAACAUCAGUGGCGAAGGCGGCCACCUGGGACAACACUGACGCUGAGGCACGAAAGCGUGGGNUGCAAACAGGAAGUUAGAUACCCUGGUAGUCCACGCCCUAAACGAUGCGAACUGGAUGUUGGUCUCAACUCGGAGAAUCAGUGUCGAAGCUAACGCGUUAAGUUCGCCGCC
rnacentral:rRNA from 1 species